rnacentral:rRNA from 1 species
CCAUGCGAGUCGAACGAGUUUAGGCUCGUGGCGUACGGCUCAGUAACACGUGGAUAACCUACCCUUAGGACCGGGAUAACCUAGGGAAACUGGGGACAAUACUGGAUAGGCAAUUUUUCCUGUAAUGGUUUUUUGUUUAAAUGUUUUUUCGCCUAAGGAUGGGUCUGCGGCCGAUUAGGUAGUUGGUUAGGUAAUGGCUUACCAAGCCGUUGAUCGGUACGGGUUGUGAGAGCAAGAGCCCGGAGAUGGAACCUGAGACAAGGUUCCAGGCCCUACGGGGUGCAGCAGGCGCGAAACCUCCGCAAUGUGAGAAAUCGCGACGGGGGGAUCCCAAGUGCCAUUCUUAACGGGAUGGCUUUUCAUUAGUGUAAAAAGCUUUUGGAAUAAGAGCUGGGCAAGACCGGUGCCAGCCGCCGCGGUAACACCGGCAGCUCUAGUGGUAGCAAUUUUUAUUGGGCCUAAAGCGUCCGUAGCCGGUUUAAUAAGUCUCUGGUGAAAUCCUGUAGCUUAACUGUGGGAAUUGCUGGAGAUACUAUUAGACUUGAGACCGGGAGAGGUUAGAGGUACUCCCAGGGUAGAGGUGAAAUUCUGUAAUCCUGGGAGGACCGCCUGUUGCGAAGGCGUCUAACUGGAACGGUUCUGACGGUGAGGGACGAAAGUUAGGGGCGCGAACCGGAUUAGAUACCCGGGUAGUCCUAACUGUAAACGAUGCGGACUUGGUGUUGGGGUGGCUUUGAGCUGCUCCAGUGCCGAAGGGAAGCUGUUAAGUCCGCCGCCUGGGAAGUACGGUCGCAAGACUGAAACUUAAAGGAAUUGGCGGGGGAGCACCACAACGCGUGGAGCCUGCGGUUUAAUUGGAUUCAACGCCGGACAUCUCACCAGAGGCGACAGCUGUAUGAUAGCCAGGUUGAUGACUUUGCUUGACUAGCUGAGAGGAGGU